UACGUAGGGGGCAAGCGUUGUCCGGAUUUAUUGGGCGUAAAGAGCGUGUAGGCGGCCAGGUAGGUCCGCUGUGAAAACUCGAGGCUCAACCUCGAGAUGUCGGCGGAAACCAUCUGGCUAGAGUCCGGAAGAGGAGAGUGGAAUUCCUGGUGUAGCGGUGAAAUGCGCAGAUAUCAGGAAGAACACCCGUGGCGAAGGCGGCCCUCUGGGACGGUACUGACGCUGAGACGCGAAAGCGUGGGGAGCAAACAGG
rnacentral:rRNA from 1 species